rnacentral:rRNA from 1 species
GAUGAACGCUAGCUACAGGCUUAACACAUGCAAGUCGAGGGGAAACGAUAUUGGAAGCUUGCUUCUGAUAGGCGUCGACCGGCGCACGGGUGAGUAACGCGUAUCCAACCUGCCCAUCACUUGGGGAUAACCUUGCGAAAGUAAGACUAAUACCCAAUGACGUCUCUAGAAGACAUCUGAAAGAGAUUAAAGAUUUAUCGGUGAUGGAUGGGGAUGCGUCUGAUUAGCUUGUUGGCGGGGUAACGGCCCACCAAGGCGACGAUCAGUAGGGGUUCUGAGAGGAAGGUCCCCCACAUUGGAACUGAGACACGGUCCAAACUCCUACGGGAGGCAGCAGUGAGGAAUAUUGGUCAAUGGACGAGAGUCUGAACCAGCCAAGUAGCGUGCAGGAUGACGGCCCUAUGGGUUGUAAACUGCUUUUAUAAGGGAAUAAAGUGAGUCUCGUGAGACUUUUGCAUGUACCUUAUGAAUAAGGACCGGCUAAUUCCGUGCCAG